rnacentral:rRNA from 1 species
UACAGAGGUCUCAAGCGUUGUUCGGAUUCAUUGGGCGUAAAGAGCGUGUGGGCGGCCAGGUAGGUCUGCUGUGAAAACUCGAGGCUCAACCUCGAGACGUCGGCGGAAACCAUCUGGCUAGAGUCCGGAAGAGGAGAGUGGAAUUCCUGGUGUAGCGGUGAAAUGCGCAGAUAUCAGGAAGAACACCCGUGGCGAAGGCGGCUCUCUGGGACGGUACUGACGCUGAGACGCGAAAGCGUGGGGAGCGAACAGG